CAGCUGAAGCUCCAAAGGAGGAAGUUAAGAAGGAAGAAGGUGGUGAGAAGAAGUCUGAAGCAGAAGUUGCUGGUGAGAAGAAGUCUGAAGCAGAAGUUGCUGGUGAGAAGACUGAGUAAUGAGAUCGCAGGUUGUGGUUUUGUUGAAAGUUUGUUGGUUCUUGCAUGCCAUGCUGUAAUUUUCUUGUUGUAGGUUUUGGUUUAAUAAGAGUAGUGUUAGGGUAAUUGGUCUGGGUAUGGGAAUGUCCUACUUGGGUAAAACCAAUGCGAACUCACCACAUGGCAGACAUGCAUUU
rnacentral:misc_RNA from 1 species